UACGGAGGGGGGCUAGCGUUGCUCGGAAUGACUGGGCGUAAAGGGCGCGUAGGCGGAUGGCACAGUCAGAUGUGAAAUUCCCGGGCUUAACCUGGGGGCUGCAUUUGAUACGUGUGAUCUAGAGUGAGGAAGAGGGUCGUGGAAUUCCCAGUGUAGAGGUGAAAUUCGUAGAUAUUGGGAAGAACACCGGUGGCGAAGGCGGCGACCUGGUCCUUGACUGACGCUGAGGCGCGAAAGCGUGGGGAGCAAACAGG
rnacentral:rRNA from 1 species